AAACUCAAAUGAAUUGACGGGGCCCGCGACAAGCGGAGGAACAUGUGGUUAAUUCGAUGAUACGCGAGGAACCUUACCUGGGCUUAAAUGGGGAGUGACAGCUGUCGAAAGAUGGUUUCUUCGGACACUCUUCAAGGUGCUGCAUGGUUGUCGUCAGCUCGUGCCGUGAGGUGUCGGGUUAAGUCCCAUAACGAGCGCAACCCUUACCGUUAGUUACCAUCAGGUUAAGCUGGGGACUCUAGCGGGACUGCCACCGUAAGGUGAGAGGAAGGUGGGGAUGACGUCAAAUCAGCACGGCCCUUAUGUCCAGGGCUACACACGUGUUACAAUGGCCAGUACAAAGGGCAGCUACCGGGUGACCGGAUGCUAAUCUCUAAAGCUGGUCUCAGUUCGGAUCGAAGUCUGCAACCCGACUUCGUGAAGCUGGAUUCGCUAGUAAUCGCGCAUCAGCCAUGGCGCGGUGAAUACGUUCCCGGGCCUU
rnacentral:rRNA from 1 species